GCCUCACAAUGGUUUGAUCCACUGCCUCCCAGCCCUCAGCAGUGGCACACGAUGCAGGUACUGUGUGCAUGUGUGGGAAUCUGACAGUCUGUCUGUCGUUGGUGGCUGACAUCCAGCAGAGCAGGCCAAGUAUGGCACACAGACAGAGCUGGGGACAGAUGGGCAGGGAAAGACUGGCAGAGACAGGGAGUCUCAGGAUCCUCGGCUCAGUUUGGGACCCUUAAUCCAGGCUGGACAGGAGGAAGUCAACCGGCAUUUCUAGAUUCUCCAUCACCUGCCACGAGAGCCUCUGUGGGCUUUCAUAGAUGGACUCAUCGAGGUUGAAGAUGGAGUCCAACCACGCCUUCAUCUGAUCCUGACGACAACAGACACAUCAUCAACAAAUAGAUAAUGACCAGCUACAAAGAUAAGGAUGACAAACCAUCACACACAGUUCGAGAGAGAGAGAGAGAGAGAGAGAGAGGGAGGGAGAAUAAAUAAAUAAAUAUGCACCUUAAUGAGGAGGUAGAAGUUCCCAGCAGACUCUGUCCAGGCUCCUCCAGGAGGGCGAAUCCUCAUCAUCACUUCCAUGAGCAGAUAAAAGAAGGUACCAGGCCUCUGGAGUAGGAACAGGGGACAUGAGUGAGUGUCUACAGACCUGGAAUGGCUACAGUGUGGAUAGGGUAGAUAAACAACAGGAUGUUUACAUUAUUAGGGUCACUUACAGAUGUUGGAAGAGAUGUUUUUCCUUCAAGAAGGCUCAGUAGAACAAAUUCAUAAAAUACAUCUGUGAAAUUGAUGUGGUUGAUCUUAAGUCAAACAAAUAAGAUAAUUACAUAUUUUUCAUUGACAAGCACUUUAGAAAGUCUCAUUGAGGAGAUGUUGGAUGAGCAGACGGUGACUGCAGCUAACACUCAAGCUUGCAUGUAAACCUACUCCUACAAGAGCCAUCUCCAGCUCUAGUUGCUCCCUGUUUGCUGGCUCAUUAAUGAAGUUCACCAGGAUGUCGUAGGCCUGCUGAAACUGCCUCACAUCCUCAAAACAAAACAAUCAUAAAAUUCCUUAGAACUUGGAUCAUAAACUCAAAGAUUCAGGUCUGUAAUUCAGAGGGCCUCUGAUUGAUUGUUUGGCUUGUAAGACAUUGGAACUUUUCAACUAAACCUUAUGAAUCACUAUUGCCUAAAUGUAAGCCACUGGGCAAAGACUGGUUGAAUCAACAUUGUUUCCUUGUCAUUUCAACAACAAAAAAUGUAAUGUGAUGAUGUUGAAUAAACAUGGAAAACUGAUUGGAAUUGAAAGAAGUCAUCAAUGUAUUUUUUUCACCAAACUUUUAACCUAAGUCCAAUGACAUGGUACAUUUGUUGUAUUGAAUUCAAAUUUGUUGACAACUCAACCAAAUGUAACUAAACACGACACGCUGAAAUGACAUCUGUGCCCAGUGGGAACUAUAUAUCUGGUCUGAUGAAUGUUGUACAAUUAUUUGAAUGGUUACCUGCUGGUUGAGCUCGGACAGUCCACUCAACACCAUCCUCCCAGCGUGGGUGAGGUAAUUAAGGGAGGUACUGUCUGAGGAUGUCAGAGCCUGUGAGAACAAGACAGUACAUUUAGAAAUGGUACAGAAAUGUACAUCAAAUGAAAUUCAAAAGGUGGUAAAUUCACACUUUCUCACCUCCAUAGCACGUCGGAUACCGGCCAGCCUCAGAGAGAAGUUGCUUGUCCCUUGGUUUCCAAAGUAACUCCUGUAAAUAGAAAUGUUUAGUAGCAAAUGUGCAACAUAAGAAGCUAAAGCAUACAUUAAUGCCAUGAGAUUAAGAUAUCCUUUUAUGUUAGCCUAUGUUACAACUGCAGGAUUUAGAAAAACCAUACCAAUGUAGGAUCUUAAUUUGAUCACUCGUUUGUUGCUGAGACACUUGUAGUGUAUUUUAGUUUUAAAAAGGCUUUUAAAGUUUGUAAUAACAGACUUGAUUUGCCCUCACGAAAAAUCUAUUAACCCCUACAAAAAUGUAAAUUAUAAUCCACAUGAUAACAAAUAUUUCCUAUGCCAAGAGUAUGCCAAAAGUGUGCAAAGCUGUUGUCAAGGCAAAGGCUGACUAUUUGAAGAAUCUCAAACCUAAAAUAUAUUUUGAUUCCAUGUGUUCUUUCAUAGUUUUGAUGUCUUCGCUAUUAUUCUACAACGUAGAAAAGAGUAAAAAUAAAGAAACCCUUGAAUCAGUAGUUGUUUGAAAACUUUUGAACGGUAGUGUAUAUAAAGUGUUUCAACUCUAUAUCUGAAAUGCUAAUGGUGUCUUCUUUUUUUAAGACUAUAUCCAUGUGUGUGAGAUGUACACUUUUGUUUCAAGGUGUGUGACUGUCACACCCUGACCAUAGAGAGCCUUUUUAUUCUCUUUUUUGGUUAGGUUGGGGUGUGACUAGGGUGGGUAAUCUAGGUAGUUUUUUUCUAUGUUGGCCUGGUAUGGUUCCCUAUCAGAGGCAGCUGUUUAUCAUUGUCUCUGAUUGGGAAUCAUAUUUAGGCAGCCAUUUCCCCUCUGUGUUUUGUGGGAUCUUGUUUUUGUGUUGUUGCCUUUGAGCACUAGAUUGUCACGUUUCGUUUAUUCUUUAUUGUUUUUGUGCGGUUCACUUCAAAUAAAAGAUGUCGAACCGAUUUCACGCUG